UGAGGAAUUUUGCGCAAUGGCCGCAAGGCUGACGCAGCAACGCCGCGUGGGUGAAGAAGGCCUUCGGGUCGUAAAGCCCUGUCAGGUGGGAAGAACACCAUGGGGACGAACAAGCUUCAUGGCUGACGGUACCACCAGAGGAAGCACCGGCUAACUCCGUGCCAGCAGCCGCGGUAAUACGGAGGGUGCGAGCGUUAUUCGGAAUUACUGGGCGUAAAGCGCGUGCAGGCGGUUUGGCAAGUCUGAUGUGAAAGCCCCGGGCUUAACCUGGGAAGUGCAUUGGAAACUGUGGGACUUGAGUACUGGAGAGGAUGGGGGAAUUCCCGGUGUAGAGGUGAAAUUCGUAGAGAUCGGGAGGAAUAUCAGUGGCGAAGGCGCCCAUCUGGACGGUAACUGACGCUGAGACGCGAAAGCGUGGGGAGCAAACA
rnacentral:rRNA from 1 species